rnacentral:rRNA from 1 species
CAGCAGCCGCGGGAAAACGUAGGGUGCAAGCGUUAAUCGGAAUUACUGGGCGUAAAGCGUGCGCAGGCGGUUAUAUAAGACAGAUGUGAAAUCCCCGGGCUCAACCUGGGAACUGCAUUUGUGACUGUAUAGCUAGAGUACGGCAGAGGGGGAUGGAAUUCCGCGUGUAGCAGUGAAAUGCGUAGAUAUGCGGAGGAACACCGAUGGCGAAGGCAAUCCCCUGGGCCUGUACUGACGCUUAUGCACGAAAGCGUGGGGAGCAAACAGGAUUAGAUACCCCGGUAGUCCCUGUCUCUUAUAC